AUGAGAGAUCCAAACACAAAGCACUCCAGGGGUUUUGAGUUUGUCAACUAUGCACUGUGGGGGAGGUGGAUGCAGCCAUGAAUGCAAGGCCACACGAGGUGGAUGGAAGAGCUGUGGAACCAAAGAGAGCUGUCUCAAGAGAAGAUUCUCAAAGACCAAGUACCCACCUACCUGUGAAAAAGACAUUUGUUGGUGGCAUUAAAGAAGACACUGAAGAACAUCACCUAAGAGAUUAUUUUGAAAAGUGUGGAAAAAUUGAAGUGAUUGAAAUCAUGACUUACUGAGACAGUGGCAAGAAAAGGGGCUUUGCCUUUGUAACUUUUGAAGAUCAAGACUCCAUGGAUAAGAUUGUUUUUCAGAAAUACCAUACUGUGAAUGACCACAAUUGUGAAGUUAGGAAAGCACUGUCAAAGCAGGAGAUGGCUGGUGCUUCAUCCAGCCAGAGGUCACAGUAGUUCUGGAAACUUUGGUCGUGGUCAUGGAGGUGGUUUCAGUGGGAAUGACAACUUUGGUUGUGGGGGAAACUUCAGUGGUUGUGGUGGCUUUGGUGGCAGCCAUGGUGGUGGUGGAUAUGGUGGCAGUGGGAAUGGCUAUAAUGGAUUUGGUGAUAAUGGAAGCAAUUUUGGAGAUGGCGAAAGCUACAAUGGUUUUGGCAAUUACAGCAAUCAGUCUUCAAAUUUUGGACCCAUAAAGGGAGGAACUUUGGAGGCAGAAGCUCUGGCCUCUAUGGUGGUGGCGGCCAAUACUUUGCCAAACCACAAAACCAAUGUGGCUAUGGCGGUUCCAGUAGCAGCAGUAGCUAUGGCAGUGGCAGAAGAUUUUAAUUA